GAUGAAUGCUGGCGGCGUGCCUAAUACAUGCAAGUCGAGCGAACAGACGAGGAGCUUGCUCCUCUGACGUUAGCGGCGGACGGGUGAGUAACACGUGGAUAACCUACCUAUAAGACUGGGAUAACUUCGGGAAACCGGAGCUAAUACCGGAUAAUAUAUUGAACCGCAUGGUUCAAUAGUGAAAGACGGUUUUGCUGUCACUUAUAGAUGGAUCCGCGCCGCAUUAGCUAGUUGGUAAGGUAACGGCUUACCAAGGCAACGAUGCGUAGCCGACCUGAGAGGGUGAUCGGCCACACUGGAACUGAGACACGGUCCAGACUCUUACGGGAGGCAGCAGUAGGGAAUCUUCCGCAAUGGGCGAAAGCCUGACGGAGCAACGCCGCGUGAGUGAUGAAGGUCUUCGGAUCGUAAAACUCUGUUAUUAGGGAAGAACAAAUGUGUAAGUAACUAUGCACGUCUUGACGGUACCUAAUCAGAAAGCCACGGCUAACUACGUG
rnacentral:rRNA from 1 species